rnacentral:rRNA from 1 species
UACGUAGGGUGCGAGCGUUGUCCGGAAUUAUUGGGCGUAAAGAGCUUGUAGGCGGUCUGUCGCGUCUGCUGUGAAAAUCCGGGGCUCAACCCCGGACUUGCAGUGGAUACGGGCAGACUAGAGGUAGGUAGGGGAGAAUGGAAUUCCCGGUGUAGCGGUGAAAUGCGCAGAUAUCGGGAGGAACACCGGUGGCGAAGGCGGUUCUCUGGGCCUUACCUGACACUGAGGAGCGAAAGCGUGGGGAGCGAACAGG